rnacentral:snRNA from 1 species
GUAUUUAAAGGUGAUCUGGCUGCAACAUUGAUCACAAGGCUUGAUUCAGCUGAUCUAGCUGGCUAGGUGAUUCCUCCCUCACUGCUCCAUGUGUGUCCCUUUCGAAGCUGCACUGUCUGUGGAAUAAGAAGGAUCUGGAGGGGGUUGAGCUGUGAUGCA